UCUAGGCGAGGAGUGGGGCAGUUGAAGACUCCAAGUGCCUAGAAAACUCACAAACGGUUUAUAAUGAUGACCAAGGUCUAACUAUCUUGCCCCUACAGCACCUCUGGCUGUCCGGAUUGGAGGAGCAGCGGUGUGUUUUGAAUGAAGAAAAUUAAACAGUUCCAUUGUCUGGCUGCCUAGAUGCAAUCAAGUCAAGAUGAGGUCAUUGGGGUGGACUCUUCUAAUGCAACAGGGCUGGGUCCUUAUAACAAGAGAAAAAUGCACGUGAAGACAAACAUACAGGGGAAUAUGUGAGGACAGAGGCAAAGAUCUGAGUGAUGCUGCAGUAGACCAAGGAAUGCCUCAGUAUUGUCAGCCACCACUGGAAACUGGGAAGAGACAAGGACGGAUUCUCCCCCAACAGAUUUCAGAGGGAGCCUGGUCUGGGCUGACACCUUGAUUUUGGACUUAGAGCCACCCAAAUGAAGCUGUGUGGUGGCUCGUGAUUGUGUGCCCAGCCAGACUG